GGUAAUGGCAAUGUGACAAAUUGGGCUAUAAUGGCUACAAAGUCAUCAAGUUUAGUUUCUCUGGUUCUCUCUUUGAUUCUUCUGCAAUUAUUUGUCUCUCAAGUUUGUCUUACGGAAGCUAUACGAAUUCCACGAAGAAUUUCACCGUCUCGCCGUCCCACUCCCCCUUCCCGUCCCCCUCCCCCUCCCCCUCAUCAUUAUUAUACACCCCCUUCGAAAUCGCCCCGAGGAGGUGGCCCAUAAGAAGCGUGUAUAAUAUAUGUACUUGUGAUCAUUUACCUUGUAAACGUAAUUGGUCAGUUUGAUGAUUAUGUUUUAUAUUAUUUGAUCCAUUAGUCUUUGUUAGCUCUUCAUAAAAUAUAUGUAACAUUCAAAAUAAGGACAUAAUGUCAGAAACAAUGUUACAAAUGAGGGCAAUGAUAAAACUUUAAGAGAGUGUAAUGAAGAUGAUAAACAUUUCUCGUCAA